rnacentral:misc_RNA from 1 species
CAGCCGCGUAAUUCCAGCUCCAAUAGCGUAUAUUAAAGUUGUUGCAGUUAAAAAGCUCGUAGUUGAAUUUCGGGAUCAAUAUGUUGGUCGUGCCUUUGGUGCGUACUAGCUUAUUGAUUUCUCCCUUCUGACGAACCAUGAUGUCAUUAAUUUGGUGUCAUGGGGAAUCAGGACUGUUACUUUGAAAAAAUUAGAGUGUUUAAAGCAGGCUUACGCUUGAAUAUAUUAGCAUGGAAUAAUGAAAUAGGACGUUUUGAUUCUAUUUUGUUGGUUUCUAGGAUCGACGUAAUGAUUAAUAGGGAUAGUUGGGGGCAUUAGUAUUCAAUUGUCAGAGGUGAAAUUCUUGGAUUUAUUGAAGACUAACUACUGCGAAAGCAUUUGCCAAGGAUGUUUUCAUUAAUCAAGAACGAAAGUUAGGGGAUCGAAGACGAUCAGAUACCGUCGUAGUCUUAACCAUAAACUAUGCCGACUAGGGAUCGGAUGAUGUUAAUUUUUUAAUGACUCAUUCGGCGCCUUACG